AAGCUUGCUUUUGUCUGUACCGAGUGGCGGACGGGUGAGUAACGCGUGAGGAACCUGUCUCAUACAGGGGGAUAACAGUUGGAAACAACUGCUAAUACCGCAUAAGACCACAGCAGCGCAUGAUGCAGAGGUCAAAGGAGGAAUCCGGUAUGAGGUGGACUCGCGUCCGAUUAGAUAGUUGGUGAGGUAACGGCCCACCAAGGCUACGAUCAGUAGGGGUUCUGAGAGGAAGGUCCCCACAAUGGAACUGAGACACGGUCCAUACUCC
rnacentral:rRNA from 1 species